UGCCAGCCGCCGCGGUAAUACGAAGGGUGCAAGCGUUAAUCGGAAUUAUUGGGCGUAAAGGGCGCGUAGGCGGACCGAUAAGUCAGAUGUGAAAUUUCAGGGCUCAACCCUGAAGCUGCAUUUGAAACUGUCGAUCUAGAGUUAUGUCGAAGGAAACGGAAUUUUAUAUGGAGCGGUGAAAUGCAUUGAUAUAUGAAAGAACACCGAUGGCGAAAGCAGUUUCCUAGAUGUAUACUGACGCUGAGGCGCGAAAGCGUGGGGAGCGAACGGGAUUAGAUA
rnacentral:rRNA from 1 species